rnacentral:tRNA from 1 species
AGUACAAUGGUCGAGUGGUUAAGGCGUUAGACUUAAGUUCCAAUAGACGAAUGUCCUCAUGGGUUCAAACCCCAUCCGUACUA